GAUGAAGAACGUAGCGAAAUGCGAUAAGUAAUGCGAAUUGCAGAAUUCCAGUGAGUCAUCGAAUCUUUGAACGCACAUUGCGCCCUUUGGUAUUCCGAAGGGCAUGCCUGUUCGAGCGUCAUUAUCACCCCUCAAGCCCUCGGCUUGGUGUUGGACGGUUUGGUGGAGGCCCCCUCGGGGGCUCCUGCCCCUCCCAAAGACAAUGACGGCGGCCUCGUUGGACCCCCGGUACACUGAGUUCUUCACGGGACACGUAUCGGACACAUGGGUUUACGGGACACGGUCUGCCUCCCCUCAGGGAGAAUCUUUCUAAGGUUGACCUCGGAGCAGGUAGGGAUACCCGCUGAACUUAAGCAUAUCAAUAAGCGGAGGA
rnacentral:misc_RNA from 1 species